GGGGGGGGGGGGGGGGGGGGCCGCCCCCCCCCCCCCCCCAAAAGAUUACAAAGUCGAAAAGUCGGGCAAAUGUUCAACAUAAGUCGGGCGAAGAGUGGGAAAUUAAAAAGCCAAGAAAGUAGUCAAAGUAAUAAAAUCUCUCUUAAUAAUAACACCAGUUUGUUGGGCAAACAAAGCCAGUUGGGCAAUAUUCGCUUAACAGUCGGGCAAUAUUGGGUUAUUAUAAAAAUAAAUGGGACAAAUAUAUUCUGUCAAUUUUGGUGGAAAUUUUUGGUAUGUCCGAAAAAAAAAUUUUGGUAUGUCCGAAAAAUUUUUGGACCCCUAAAAUGGUACACUGACCGAAAUUUUUUGGCGACGGGGGGGGGGUGGAGGUCGCCAAAAUUAAUUGUUCCGGAAAAAAAAUUUUCGGCACUGGUCGGGUACAAUCCGAAAAAGUCGGGCAAAUUUCUUGCCGCCCCCCUUAAUUUUUUCCUUCCGGUACGCCCAUGAUGAUCUGUAAGAUAUUAUGCAAUGUGACAUAUCCAUGCAGUGAUGGUU